GACGAACGCGGCGGCGUGCUUAACACUGCAAGUCGAACGGGUCUGCCUUGUUUUUUGCGGGGUGGGUUAGUGGCGAACGGGUGAGUAACACGUGAGUAACCUGCCCCCUCACUUCUGGAUAACCGCUUGAAAGGGUGGCUAAUACGGGGUGUUCUGGCUGUGCCGCAUGGUGUGGCUGGGAAAGAUUCACUUUUGUGGUGUUUUGGUGGGGGAUGGGCUCGCGGCCUAUCAGCUUGUUGGUGGGGUGAUGGCCUGCCAAGGCUUUGACGGGUAGCCGGCCUGAGAGGGUGGGCGGUCACACUGGGACUGAGAUACGGCCCAGACUCCUGCGGGAGGCAGCAGUGGGGGGUAUUGCACAAUGGGCGGAAGCCUGAUGCAGCGACGUCGCGUGAGGGAUGGAGGCCUUCGGGUUGUGAACCUCUUUCGCCGGUGAAGAAGGUCCUGCUCUUUGUGGUGGGGCUGACGGUAGCCGGGUUAUGAAGCGCCGGCUAACUACGUGCCAGCAGCCGCGGUAAUACGUAGGGCGCGAGCGUUGUCCGGAAUUAUUGGGCGUAAAGGGCUUGUAGGCGGCUGGUCGCGUCUGCCGUGAAAUCCUCUGGCUCAGCUGGGGGCGUGCGGUGGGUACGGGCUGGCUUGAGUGCGGUAGGGGAGGCUGGAACUCCUGGUGUAGCGGUGGAAUGCGCGGAUAUCAGGAGGAACACCGGUGGCGAAGGCGGGUCUCUGGGCCGUUACUGACGCUGAGGAGCGAAAGCGUGGGGAGCGAACAGG
rnacentral:rRNA from 1 species